GGGGAAUAUUGUGCAAUGGGGGAAACCCUGACGCAGCAACGCCGCGUGAAGGAAGAAGGUCUUCGGAUCGUAAACUUUUGUCUUCUGGGAAGAAAGAUGACGGUACCAGAGGAGGAAGCCACGGCUAACUACGUGCCAGCAGCCGCGGUAAUACGUAGGUGGCGAGCGUUGUCCGGAAUUACUGGGUGUAAAGGGCGCGUAGGCGGGAGAGCAAGUCAGAUGUGAAAUACCGAAGCUCAACUUCGGGGCUGCAUUUGAAACUGUUCUUCUUGAGUGCAGGAGAGGAAAGCGGAAUUCCUAGUGUAGCGGUGAAAUGCGUAGAUAUUAGGAGGAACACCAGUGGCGAAGGCGGCUUUCUGGACUGUAACUGACGCUGAGGCGCGAAAGCGUGGGGAGCAAAC
rnacentral:rRNA from 1 species